ensembl:lncRNA
GGGCUGUGUGUCGGACAGCAGCGACAUCCACAGCGCCUGUCUGACACACAGCCAGCGGGAAAAGCUCUCCGCAGAGCAAAUCAAAAUGUUUUUACAAAAAGUCAAAAAUAGGAGGAAUCUGAAAAUCGAGGAGUUUUUCCCAGACCUGGUGUGUUUUUAUUACUCAGCCAGACUCCGCAUGAGCCAGCGAGAGGAGUCUGGCUUCACAGAUCAAGAGGGUUUUAGACUGAAAAAACUUGUGCUAAAAGCAAAACGAGCAAUCGAUGAUCACGAAAAAAGCCCCAAUGUGUGUUUUAAUUGAUUUAUUGGUUUUAUUUUUAUUUUUUAUCAUGGAUACUUUAAAAGUGGGAAGCCUGAAUGUGAACGGAGCCAGAGAUGCCAAGAAGAGGGCAUCUAUUUAUGAAUUUUAAAAAAUGAAACGUCUUGAUGUUCUCUUCGUGCAAGAGACGCACAGCGACAGCACCAACGAGGCCGACUGGAGGAGGGAGUGGGAAGGGGAAGUCCUGCUGAGCCACAACACCAACCUCAGUGGAGGAGUGGGCUUCCUCUUCUCCAGAAGAUGCGACCAUAGACCGCAACCACGCAGAGCCACAUCCAGCUUCCCAGCACGCUCUGAGGCAGCUGGUCCAGUCUCAUGGCCUGGUGGAUGUGUGGAGAAGGAUGCAUGCAGACUGCCGACAGUACACGUGGUCCCACCUCAGAGAAGCACACUUUCAACGUGACCAGAGACAUCACCAGAUCUAUGAAGGACCUGGAGACC